GGCUCAGUUGUAGCACAAUGGUAGAGUACUUGUCUAGAAAGUAUGAAGUCCUGGGUUCAGUCCCAGGAGUCA
rnacentral:tRNA from 1 species